AAUGGUAUUUUAAUGGAAACCAUUGGAAUUUCUGUGAUGGUUUCUAUUGUUUUUUUUUUUAGCAGGGGUGUGAAGCCCUCCUCGUGUGAAGACCAUCGACUCUACCGUGAGACUCCACCGGACAGGGACACCGGCAAGGGAUAAGUAUCGCUUUUUAUUUAUCCUCUUUCCUACUACUUGUUUCACUUCUGUUUCAGUUUUUAUAACCAAUUCUUACUAUGAGCAAGUAAUUUAUUGUUGUUGCUUUUAAAAUGUGUGUUUGACUCAGUGUUAUUUUUUGAGAUUACUGAUAAACUAAUGUAGUUUGAUUUGUAUUUGUUGUCUGUUUUAGGUACAGUUGUAGUUAUGUUAUCAUUUUAUUAGUUUUAUAUUUAUUUAUUAUGUCUGUAGGUUGUUUAUGAAGUUUUAGUUUGAUUUGAUUUGAGUUAUUUUGGUACUUCAUACUACAUGGAAAUGAUAUAUAUAUAUAUAUAUAUAUAUAUAUAUAUAUAUAUAUAUAAUUUAUUUUUAUAUGUAUAUAUGUAUAUGUGUGUGGCUGUACAUAAACAUAUGUAGUUGUUUUUUGGUGUUUGGCUUAGUGUUAUGUUAGAAGCAUUAUUAUACUCACACCUUUUGUUGUUUUAAUAUUUUGAAUUGUUUUUAGCUUCGUUUUUGUUUUCAUUUAAAUGUUUAGUUUUGAAAUGUUGUUGCAUGCAUUUGUCAUUUUUAUUUAAUUUCUUUAUUUUCUUAAAUGUGUGUGUAUAUAUAGUAUUCAUAGAGUUUUAACUUUUAGCUUUUACAAAACACAGAACACUAAAAUGUUUAACUAUUGAUCAGCUUCGUCUCCCAGAAUCCAGCGGAAAUAACAGCCUUAUCAAAGACACACAGGUUCACUGCUAAAGACGGGUUGUAAUUGCUGCUGUACUGUACAUCCCAAGCACCGCCUGCAUUCUUAUCAUGGAUUGCUGUCAUUCAAGAAGUUCUCAUGUCCUCCCCUGUUGUGGCUGAGAUACACAUUCUCUUCGUUUUAUUUUAAACAUAAAACAUCCAUUGGACAUGGCACCUAUACGCUGAAAUUCAUACAAAUGAAAGAACACGUAAUGAAACUGUGUAUAUAGCAUUUUGUUGUGUUGCUGUUUAGUUGAAAAUAAUCAAAGGGUUAAUUCACCCAAAAAUGAAAAUCGAUGAACAAAGGUCUUACGGGUUUGGAACGACAUGAUGGUGAGUAAUUAAUGACUGAAUUUUCAUUUUUGGGUGAACUAUCCUUUAAGUAUAUCAUAAAACAUUGUUGACAAGGUCAUAUAACAGAUGCAGUUGGAGACCACUUGAAAUGUAAGUUCAGCAUUUUAUAAACAAUGUUUGAACUGGAAAGUACCUGUAUUUGUAAUAGCAGGUGAUAAUUCAAUCUCAACCUGUUCUGCAUGUUACUCUGUACUUCAGUUUCAUUCAUUUUGUUUCUUGUCAUUUCCAGUCUUCCUGUGAAGAAAGCUGUGAAAGGUUCAGAUGAAGGGAACCAAAGGCUACGUUUUCAAGACUCAUGUAUGAAGAACUCAGAAAAUCCAUAUACAAUUUGAGCUUUUUUCAAAUCUCUACAUGGACUGAACAUGAAAAAAAAAAAAAAAGUAGUUUCCUUAAACUUGCACAUGGCAAGAGAUACUAAAAGCACACAAACACUUGGAGCCCUGCUCUUAAUUCAGACUGUAUAGUUCUCCUAGUUUCACACUGAAAUGUCAGGCAUGAAUGCAUGAAUCUUUGUUCCAUAUUUUCAAAUACUGUACAAGAGCAUAUUUUUGCAGACCCAUGUCAAUUGUAGAUACAGGGUGAGGGUGAGUAACUGAUGACAGAAUUCACAUUUUUGGGGGAACUGUCUUUUUAAAUAAUGUGUUCUCCUGUAGGAAAAUGGUGUCAACACUGGAACAUUUCACUUGACUGUUGACUAUAAGUCUAUAGCAAUUGUUAUUAAUGACAGCCCUGUCUUUGUAUUCCUUUUUUUCCCGUGUAUUUGAAAAUGUUUUGAAUAUUGACUGCUUCACAGUAAAGUUUAUCUUUGUAACCACAAUACAAGCAUUUUCAAUGGUGCUUUACAUACAUUGCCCUCCGAAAGUUUGGAAACACUCCUGGCAAAGUGUGAUUUUAGAUGAUAUCAGCAUAAAUCCUUAUCAUUUUUUGGUGCAAAUACAUUAAAGUAACUUGACAUUAUCAUUGAAGACCAGCAAUAAUAAUUUUAAUUUUGAUUACAUAAUAAUGGCAAUAUAUACGUAUAUCGUCAGACGUGCCCCUUUGCCAGCUGUGAUGCCUGGUUACUGGUUUAAACUUGGCCCAGGUUUUUAAAAGAUUUUUGGGUCAGCAAAAUUAAAAGCUUAAUAGCUUCAACAAUUGAUUGCCAAUUAAGUUAUAAUACAAUGAAUCAAUUAGAA